rnacentral:rRNA from 1 species
UACGUAGGGCGCAAGCGUUGUCCGGAGUCAUUGGGCGUAAAGCGCGCGUAGGCGGCCCUGUAAGUCCGCUGUGAAAGUCAAAGGCUCAACCUUUGAAAGCCGGUGGAUACUGCAGGGCUGGAGUCCGGAAGAGGCGAGUGGAAUUCCUGGUGUAGCGGUGGAAUGCGCAGAUAUCAGGAGGAACACCAAUAGCGAAGGCAGCUCGCUGGGACGGUACUGACGCUAAGGCGCGAAAGCGUGGGGAGCGAACAGG